rnacentral:rRNA from 1 species
GAUGAACGCUGGCGGCGUGCCUAAUACAUGCAAGUCGAGCGAAGGGAUUAAGAGCUUGCUCUUAUGAAGUUAGCGGCGGACGGGUGAGUAACACGUGGGUAACCUGCCCAUAAGACUGGGAUAACUCCGGGAAACCGGGGCUAAUACCGGAUAACAUUUUGAACCGCAUGGUUCGAAAUUGAAAGGCGGCUUCGGCUGUCACUUAUGGAUGGACCCGCGUCGCAUUAGCUAGUUGGUGAGGUAACGGCUCACCAAGGCAACGAUGCGUAGCCGACCUGGGAGGGUGAUCGGCCACAAUGGGACUGGAACACGGCCCAGACUCCGACGGGAGGCAGCAGUAGGAAAGCAUCCGCAAUGGACGAAAGUCUGACGGAGCAACGCCGCGUGAGUGAUGAAGGCUUUCGGGUCGUAAAACUCUGUUGUUAGGGAAGAACAAGUGCUAGUUGAAUAAGCUGACACCUUGACGGUACCUAACCAGAAAGCCACGGCUAACUACGUGCCAGCAGCCGCAGUAA